GUGCACCAGUCGCGAAAACUUUACAAUGUGCGAAAGCACGAUAAGGGAACUCUGAGUGCCUCCUAAGGAGGCUGUUCAGGUGUCUAAAAGCACCUGAAGGAAGGGCUGGGUAAGACCGGUGCCAGCCGCCGCGGUAACACCGGCAGCCCAAGUGGUAGCCACGUUUAUUGGGUCUAAAGCGUCCGUAGCCGGCUGGGUAAGUUCCUUGGGAAAUUUGGCUGCUUAACAGUCAAGCUUUCAGGGAAUACUGCCCGGCUUGGGACCGGGAGAGGUCAGAGGUACUCCAGGGGUAGGGGUGAAAUCCAUUAAUCCUUGGGGGACCACCGGUAGCGAAGGCGUCUGACCAGACCGGGUCCGACGGUGA
rnacentral:rRNA from 1 species